UACGUAGGGGGCUAGCGUUGUCCGGAAUUACUGGGCGUAAAGGGCGCGUAGGCGGCACAGCAAGUCGGGAGUGAAAGCCCGGGGCUCAACCCCGGAAUGGCUUUCGAAACUGCUGAGCUAGAGUACAGAAGGGGCAACCGGAAUUCCCAGUGUAGCGGUGAAAUGCGUAGAUAUUGGGAAGAACACCUGAGGCGAAGGCGGGUUGCUGGGCUGAUACUGACGCUGAGGCGCGAAAGCCAGGGGAGCAAACGGG
rnacentral:rRNA from 1 species